rnacentral:rRNA from 1 species
AGAUUAAGUUAUUAAGGGCGCACGGUGGAUGCCUUGGCACUAGAAGCCGAUGAAGGACGUUACUAACGACGAUAUGCUUUGGGGAGCUGUAAGUAAGCUUUGAUCCAGAGAUUUCCGAAUGGGGAAACCCAGCAUGAGUUAUGUCAUGUUAUCGAUAUGUGAAUACAUAGCAUAUCAGAAGGCACACCCGGAGAACUGAAACAUCUUAGUACCCGGAGGAAGAGAAAGAAAAUUCGAUUCCCUUAGUAGCGGCGAGCGAAACGGGAAGAGCCCAAACCAACAAGCUUGCUUGUUGGGGUUGUAGGACACUCUAUACGGAGUUACAAAGGACGACAUUAGACGAAUCAUCUGGAAAGAUGAAUCAAAGAAGGUAAUAAUCCUGUAGUCGAAAAUGUUGUCUCUCUUGAGUGGAUCCUGAGUACGACGGAGCACGUGAAAUUCCGUCGGAAUCUGGGAGGACCAUCUCCUAAGGCUAAAUACUCUCUAGUGACCGAUAGUGAACCAGUACCGUGAGGGAAAGGUGAAAAGCACCCCGGAAGGGGAGUGAAAUAGAACCUGAAACCGUGUGCUUACAAGUAGUCAGAGCCCGUUAAUGGGUGAUGGCGUGCCUUUUGUAGAAUGAACCGGCGAGUUACGAUUUGAUGCAAGGUUAAGCAGUAAAUGUGGAGCCGUAGCGAAAGCGAGUCUGAAUAGGGCGUUUAGUAUUUGGUCGUAGACCCGAAACCAGGUGAUCUACCCUUGGUCAGGUUGAAGUUCAGGUAACACUGAAUGGAGGACCGAACCGACUUACGUUGAAAAGUGAGCGGAUGAACUGAGGGUAGCGGAGAAAUUCCAAUCGAACCUGGAGAUAGCUGGUUCUCUCCGAAAUAGCUUUAGGGCUAGCCUCAAGUGAUGAUUAUUGGAGGUAGAGCACUGUUUGGACGAGGGGCCCCUCUCGGGUUACCGAAUUCAGACAAACUCCGAAUGCCAAUUAAUUUAACUUGGGAGUCAGAACAUGGGUGAUAAGGUCCGUGUUCGAAAGGGAAACAGCCCAGACCACCAGCUAAGGUCCCAAAAUAUAUGUUAAGUGGAAAAGGAUGUGGCGUUGCCCAGACAACUAGGAUGUUGGCUUAGAAGCAGCCAUCAUUUAAAGAGUGCGUAAUAGCUCACUAGUCGAGUGACACUGCGCCGAAAAUGUACCGGGGCUAAACAUAUUACCGAAGCUGUGGAUUGUCCUUUGGACAAUGGUAGGAGAGCGUUCUAAGGGCGUUGAAGCAUGAUCGUAAGGACAUGUGGAGCGCUUAGAAGUGAGAAUGCCGGUGUGAGUAGCGAAAGACGGGUGAGAAUCCCGUCCACCGAUUGACUAAGGUUUCCAGAGGAAGGCUCGUCCGCUCUGGGUUAGUCGGGUCCUAAGCUGAGGCCGACAGGCGUAGGCGAUGGAUAACAGGUUGAUAUUCCUGUACCACCUAUAAUCGUUUUAAUCGAUGGGGGGGACGCAGUAGGAUAGGCGAAGCGUGCGAUUGGAUUGCACGUCUAAGCAGUAAGGCUGAGUAUUAGGCAAAUCCGGUACUCGUUAAGGCUGAGCUGUGAUGGGGAGAAGACAUUGUGUCUUCGAGUCGUUGAUUUCACACUGCCGAGAAAAGCCUCUAGAUAGAAAAUAGGUGCCCGUACCGCAAACCGACACAGGUAGUCAAGAUGAGAAUUCUAAGGUGAGCGAGCGAACUCUCGUUAAGGAACUCGGCAAAAUGACCCCGUAACUUCGGGAGAAGGGGUGCUCUUUAGGGUUAACGCCCAGAAGAGCCGCAGUGAAUAGGCCCAAGCGACUGUUUAUCAAAAACACAGGUCUCUGCUAAACCGUAAGGUGAUGUAUAGGGGCUGACGCCUGCCCGGUGCUGGAAGGUUAAGAGGAGUGGUUAGCUUCUGCGAAGCUACGAAUCGAAGCCCCAGUAAACGGCGGCCGUAACUAUAACGGUCCUAAGGUAGCGAAAUUCCUUGUCGGGUAAGUUCCGACCCGCACGAAAGGCGUAACGAUUUGGGCACUGUCUCAACGAGAGACUCGGUGAAAUCAUAGUACCUGUGAAGAUGCAGGUUACCCGCGACAGGACGGAAAGACCCCGUGGAGCUUUACUGUAGCCUGAUAUUGAAAUUCGGCACAGCUUGUACAGGAUAGGUAGGAGCCUUUGAAACGUGAGCGCUAGCUUACGUGGAGGCGCUGGUGGGAUACUACCCUAGCUGUGUUGGCUUUCUAACCCGCACCACUUAUCGUGGUGGGAGACAGUGUCAGGCGGGCAGUUUGACUGGGGCGGUCGCCUCCUAAAAGGUAACGGAGGCGCUCAAAGGUUCCCUCAGAAUGGUUGGAAAUCAUUCAUAGAGUGUAAAGGCAUAAGGGAGCUUGACUGCGAGACCUACAAGUCGAGCAGGGUCGAAAGACGGACUUAGUGAUCCGGUGGUUCCGCAUGGAAGGGCCAUCGCUCAACGGAUAAAAGCUACCCCGGGGAUAACAGGCUUAUCUCCCCCAAGAGUUCACAUCGACGGGGAGGUUUGGCACCUCGAUGUCGGCUCAUCGCAUCCUGGGGCUGUAGUCGGUCCCAAGGGUUGGGCUGUUCGCCCAUUAAAGCGGUACGCGAGCUGGGUUCAGAACGUCGUGAGACAGUUCGGUCCCUAUCCGUCGUGGGCGUAGGAAAUUUGAGAGGAGCUGUCCUUAGUACGAGAGGACCGGGAUGGACAUACCUCUGGUGUACCAGUUGUCGUGCCAACGGCAUAGCUGGGUAGCUAUGUGUGGACGGGAUAAGUGCUGAAAGCAUCUAAGCAUGAAGCCCCCCCUCAAGAUGAGAUUUCCCAACUUCGGUUAUAAGAUCCCUCAAAGAUGAUGAGGUUAAUAGGUUCGAGGUGGAAGCAUGGUGACAUGUGGAGCUGACGAAUACUAAUCGAUCGAAGACUUAAUCAAAUU